rnacentral:miRNA from 1 species
GGAAUGGUCGAGUCGGGAAGA